UGGGGAAUAUUGCACAAUGGGCGCAAGCCUGAUGCAGCCAUGCCGCGUGUGUGAAGAAGGCCUUCGGGUUGUAAAGCACUUUCGGCGAGGAGGAAGGUGGUGAACUUAAUACGUUCAUCAAUUGACGUUACUCGCAGAAGAAGCACCGGCUAACUCCGUGCCAGCAGCCGCGGUAAUACGGAGGGUGCAAGCGUUAAUCGGAAUUACUGGGCGUAAAGCGCACGCAGGCGGUUUGUUAAGUCAGAUGUGAAAUCCCCGGGCUCAACCUGGGAACUGCAUUUGAAACUGGCAAGCUAGAGUCUCGUAGAGGGGGGUAGAAUUCCAGGUGUAGCGGUGAAAUGCGUAGAGAUCUGGAGGAAUACCGGUGGCGAAGGCGGCCCCCCUGGACGAAGACUGACGCUCAGGUGCGAAAGGCGUGGGGAGCAAACAGAUUAGAUACCCUGGUAGUCCACGCUGUAAAACGAUGUCGA
rnacentral:rRNA from 1 species